GGCACCGGGACAGGUCAGUCCAAACGGUGGUGAUAAGCAGGAUAUAUUAUACCCUGGGACGCCAUGACACCGGCGUUCACAGUGGAGGAAACAGGAAACACCACAACUUCAUGUGUCGUCAUUUCUCCACAUAUCAGCCAUGUGUUGGAUCCCCAAUCCCAUCCGGAUGUCAGUCCCGGACUGGACAGUCCCAGGUUUCUCAAGACUUCAAGACGUCUCCAAUGAACUGAAGGGAGCUGUCCAAGGACGGAGUGAAGGAACUUCUAAUGAGGAGACCAAGUGACGAGAAGAUGAACAUGUGCAGUCAGGAUUCAUGACGUCCGCCUGCCAAAGUUCUAGCGUUCAUCCUGAAAGCCCAAAGAUCCUCACCGGGGGUGUCACAAGAUCCCGCCAGAUUCACGCCUGACCGGAUUUCUCAUUCCGAUCAAAAAUGUCCCGGGAGGUAAAUAAAUUCAUCACACAACAACUGAAAAUGAAGCGGAUCAUCCAUACCUCGCCGUGUGCACGCGGCUCUGGAUUUAUUCAACGGUUUACUUCCUGAAUGUUAGCUGUUCAUGUCGAAAAUAACCAACGGUGAAUAUAACAUAUAAUUAAUACAUGUUGGAUUGUAGCGUUGCUUGCGGCUGCCCAGCAUGCCUUGCGGCACUUGCUUUGUAAAAGGUUGCUAGGAUGAGGUGUUGACUUGGGACUCUGGUAUUAGUCUCUGGUAGUCGCCGUCCUUCAUGUCCUUGCUGGUCUGUUCCGUGCUUCCGUGUCAUCAGGCGAU